GACGAACGCUGGCGGCGUGCUUAACACAUGCAAGUCGAACGCUGAAGCUCAGCUUUUGUUGGGUGGAUGAGUGGCGAACGGGUGAGUAACACGUGAGUAACCUGCCUCCUUCUUUGGGAUAACGCCCGGAAACGGGUGUUAAUACUGGAUAUUCACUGGUCUUCGCAUGGGGGUUGGUGGAAAGGGUUUUUCUGGUGGGGGAUGGGCUCGCGGCCUAUCAGCUUGUUGGUGGGGUGAUGGCCUACCAAGGCUUUGACGGGUAGCCGGCCUGAGAGGGUGACCGGUCACAUUGGGACUGAGAUACGGCCCAGACUCCUACGGGAGGCAGCAGUGGGGAAUAUUGCACAAUGGGCGCAAGCCUGAUGCAGCGACGCCGCGUGAGGGAUGGAGGCCUUCGGGUUGUGAACCUCUUUCGCUCAUGGUCAAGCCGCAACAAUGGUUGUGGUGAGGGUAGUGGGUAAAGAAGCGCCGGCUAACUACGUG
rnacentral:rRNA from 1 species